GACGAACACUGGCGGCGUGCUUAACACAUGCAAGUCGAACGGAAAGGCCCUGCUUUUGUGGGGUGCUCGAGUGGCGAACGGGUGAGUAACACGUGAGUAACCUGCCCUUGACUUUGGGAUAACUUCAGGAAACUGGGGCUAAUACCGGAUAGGAGCUCCUGCUGCAUGGUGGGGGUUGGAAAGCUUCGGCGGUUGGGGAUGGACUCGCGGCUUAUCAGCUUGUUGGUGGGGUAGUGGCUUACCAAGGCUUUGACGGGUAGCCGGCCUGAGAGGGUGACCGGCCACAUUGGGACUGAGAUGCGGCCCAGACUCCUACGGGAGGCAGCAGUGGGGAAUAUUGCACAAUGGGCGGAAGCCUGAUGCAGCAACGCCGCGUGCGGGAUGACGGCCUUCGGGUUGUAAACCGCUUUCGCCUGUGACGAAGCGUGAGUGACGGUAAUGGGUAAAGAAGCACCGGCUAACUACGUG
rnacentral:rRNA from 1 species